rnacentral:tRNA from 1 species
CGGGGCGUAGCGCAGUCUGGUAGCGCAUCUGGUUUGGGACCAGAGGGUCGGAGGUUCGAAUCCUCUCGCCCCGACCA